CGAUUAAAGAAAGCUUGGGAAGGGGGGAAUGAAUCUAGGAUGAUGGAAGAAGAGUGUGGCGUAGAGACUUUAAUUUGGCCAUCAAGAUUAGAUGCAACAAGGGCAGAAUGGAUGAACUUUAAGGCAAAGACUAAAACUGGGGCAGCAUUUGGGAGGGUAGUUAGAACUUCAGAUCCAACCGCUAUGGCUGUGAUGUUGGUGGCAGGAACAUGGGCUAUUACAUUGCGAGCAACCCAGUUGGCUGCAGUAGCAUUUGAUUGACCAAUCCCAAGGAGCUGCUCAUUAGGAACAGAAACUGUUACACGGAU
rnacentral:misc_RNA from 1 species